rnacentral:tRNA from 1 species
GGGGCCAUAGCACAGUUGGUAGCGCAUUUGAAUGGCAUUCAAAAGGUCGGGGGUUCAACUCCCCCUGGCUCCACCA